rnacentral:pre_miRNA from 1 species
AAAAAGACAAAUCUGGUUUUCGUGUCCAACAUUUGACUGUUCGUCUUAUUUGAAAAAAUUAUGAAAAAAAAAUAAAAAGAUAAGUCAUGCAUAAAGUAUUAAUCAUGUUUUAUCAUCUAACAACAAUGAAAAAACUAAUUAUAAAAAAAAUUUAUAUAAGACGGAGAGUCAAACGUUAGCACGGAAACCCAGGGUUUGUCUUUUU